AUUGAACGCUGGCGGCAUGCUUUACACAUGCAAGUCGAACGGUAACAGGCCGCAAGGUGCUGACGAGUGGCGAACGGGUGAGUAAUGCAUCGGAACGUGCCCAGUCGUGGGGGAUAACGCAGCGAAAGCUGUGCUAAUACCGCAUACGAUCUAUGGAUGAAAGCGGGGGACCGUAAGGCCUCGCGCGAUGGGAGCGGCCGAUGUCAGUUUAGGUAGUUGGUGGGGUAAAGGCUCGCCAAGCCAACGAUCUGUAGCUGGUCUGAGAGGACGACCAGCCACACUGGGACUGAGACACGGCCCAGACUCCUACGGGAGGCAGCAGUGGGGAAUUUUGGACAAUGGGCGCAAGCCUGAUCCAGCAAUGCCGCGUGCAGGAAGAAGGCCUUCGGGUUGUAAACUGCUUUUGUACGGAACGAAAAGGUUUGGGUUAAUACCCUGGGCCGAUGACGGUACCGUAAGAAUAAGCACCGGCUAACUACGUGCCAGCCGCCGCUGUAA
rnacentral:rRNA from 1 species